AAAAGAGAAACAGAGAUUGAUUCCUCUGCCUGCAUGCCCUUUGUUGUUCCUUCGUUCCUCUUUUUUUCUCUUUUCUCUUUUCUGUUCUCU
rnacentral:ribozyme from 1 species